GUCGUACUCCCUCCGUCCCAAAUUACUCGUCGCUGAAAUGGAUGUAUCUAGAACUAAAAUACAUCUAGAUACAUCCAUACGUGCGACAAGUAAUUCGGAACGGAGGGAGUAUAAU
rnacentral:pre_miRNA from 1 species